rnacentral:rRNA from 1 species
UUGGGAAUCUUGGACAAUGGGGGAAACCCUGAUCCAGCCAUGCCGCGUGAGUGAUGAAGGCCUUCGGGUUGUAAAACUCUUUCGACGGGGACGAUAAUGACGGUACCCGUAGAAGAAGCUCCGGCUAACUUCGUGC